GCGCUCGAAGCUGGGGUUUGGGAGCACCGGUUUCCUAAACCGGGGGUCGCAGGUUCGAAUCCUGCCGGGCGCA
rnacentral:tRNA from 1 species